rnacentral:lncRNA from 1 species
AAUGGUGGCAGUUUGUGACACAACUGAAGGCUCCUCUAAGGGACAGCUCUCCGCGAUUCCACCGCGUGCCGGCUUUGGAGGCGUUUGCUGGCGUGGUGAGGCUCAGCUUCCCCCUCUGUUUCCCAGGCUCCAGAGACUAAUCCUUCCUUUGGCUGGCUCUGCUGCUGCUAUGGCAAUAUUUUCUCCCCCAUCGUGGUAAUCACGCAAUGGUCUCUGAGAACAGCAGGAGAAGCUGUGCCUGGUAGAUGCAUAAAAGCAGCUGGGCUCAGUGCUGGCUUUUAAAGCCUCCCAGGAGCAGUGUCAGGACACAGAAACCUGGAGCUGGGGGAUGUGUCCUGGCACACGAGAGGACGCGGGUGACAAGGACACCGCCUGACACCAGACUGGCACUUGCCAACUCCCAUGUGAAGUACACAGCGUGCUGAUCCUGAGCUCCCUCUGCUUCAAAGGCCGUAAGAGCCUGUGACUCCACCAACCUUUUAAAUGGAAAAGGGAAUCCCCGUGGAAGCAGUCGUGAGGCAGGGCAGGGCUGUGUGAGGAGGGAUGAAGGACACGGAUGCUCAGAAGGCUCCAGAUCAGGGCAGUUAUUUUCCAGCCCUAGAAGAUGCCUGUUCCUCAGUGCACACCAGGAAGGGAUGCUUUGCCGCUGGGAGGGAGGGAGGGAGCUGCAGGAUUUGCUUGUUUCUGUGUGGACAUGGCAAGCAGCAGCACAGAGCUUCUCUUCAUGCAGACUGUGCAGCCAUUAGAUGCUCAUCCCACAGCCUGGCAAGCGCAGUGGGACCCAGAGCCUGUGGCUGCCCCACUCCGGUGUCAGUGGCACCCUGGCCAGCACGGCUGCAGGACAGCCUGCCAGGGCCCCAGGGGCCGUGUGAGCCAGAACUGGCACGGCACAGCUUGGCCCCAGCCCUUCUGCCUGGGCUUAUCUGCAUCUCGUGUCUGAUCUGA